rnacentral:rRNA from 1 species
GGAUGGAGCUCUAGCGUCGUGCCUAUACCGGGCCGUCAACGNGCACAGUGGGCGUCUGCUUUCGGGCAAGAGCCGUUAUGCCUUGACGAGUAGGAGGGUCGCGGCGGUGUGCGCAGAAGGGUCUGGGCGUGAGCCCGCCUGGAGCCGCCGUCGGCGCAGAUCUUGGUGGUAGUAGCAAAUACUCUAGCGAGGGCCUGGAGGACUGACGUGGAGAAGGGUUUCUUGUGAACAGCCGUUGCACAAGAGUCAGUCGACCCUAAGCACUAGGAGAAAUCCGAUGUUGAUGGGUGGCUAUACAAAACCACGUUCUGUUUGUUGCGAACGCUCUCAACGCCCCUCUCCUGCCUGCGAGUUCUCUUUCCCUGUCCCGCGGCCGAAUAGGCCAGGAAUACAGAGGGAUCGCCUUGCAGGAGUGCAGGGCAGCCGAGUGUCGAUUAUCCGCCUCGGAGUCGCUUCAGUUGCUGCGGACACCCGUCGCGUACAGCGAAAGGGGCCAAGUCUCUCGAGCGUCUCUUGAGGAAGGGUGCAGCGUAACAACUGCUCCUGUCGUGCAAAAGGGAAUCCGGUUCCUAUUCCGGAACCCGGCUGCGUAACCGCCACUCUGCGGGCACUCGCCUGCGAGCGCUCGUCGGGGUAACCCAAACUGGCCCGGAGACGCCGGCGGGGGGUCUGGAAAGAGUUUUCUUUUCUUUAUAAGCGUUCGAGUACCCUGGAAUCCUAUAGCANGGAGAUAGGGUUUGGAACGCGAAGAGCACCGCAGUUGCGGCGGUGUCCGGACUUCCCCCCCGGACCUUGAAAAUCCGGGUGAGGGCUACGCGGAAGUCGCGCCGGAUCGUACCCAUAUCCGCAGCAGGUCUCCAAGGUUAAGAGCCUCUAGUCGAUAGAAUAAUGUAGGNANGGNAAGUCGG